rnacentral:rRNA from 1 species
GAUGAACGCUAGCGGCAGGCUUAAUACAUGCAAGUCGUGGGGCAGCAUGAAUGUAGCAAUACAUUUGAUGGCGACCGGAAAACGGGUGCGGAACACGUACACAACCUUCCUAUAAGUGGGGAAUAGCCCAGAGAAAUUUGGAUUAAUACCCCGUAACAUAACGAUGUGGCAUCACAUUGUUAUCAUAGCUUCGGCGCUUAUUGAUGGGUGUGCGGCUGAUUAGAUAGUUGGCGGGGUAACGGCCCACCAAGUCUACGAUCAGUAGCUGAUGUGAGAGCAUGAUCAGCCACACGGGCACUGAGACACGGGCCCGACUCCUACGGGAGGCAGCAGUAAGGAAUAUCGGUCAAUGGACGCAAGUCUGAACCAGCCAUGCCGCGUGAAGGAUUAAGGUCCUCUGGAUUGUAAACUUCUUUUAUCUGGGACGAAAAAAGGCUUUUCUAAGUCACUUGACGGUACCAGAUGAAUAAGCACCGGCUAACUCCGUGCCAGCAGCCGCAGUAACAC